UCCCUACUACUUUGCAAGCUCCAUAGGGAAAGAACUAUGUCUGUUUUGGUCAGCCUUGCAUCCUCAAUGCUAGAACAAUGCAGGGAAACUACUAGAAGGGCCCAGCAAAUUUUCCAAGAACACAUAAAAAAAUAAAAUAAAAAUACAUAUUUAAAAGUGAAAUUUCAAGCUAAUGGUAAAAUUUUUUCAAGGGUUUGGAGAGUACAUGUAACGCCUUUAGUUACACAAUAAUAAUAAUAAUUUAAUAAUUGAGUUAUUAUAUUGAACAUUUAUUGUGUUUCUUCUACUCCAGAUACUAAUUACUUUGCAUUGCGCUAAGUACUUUGAAAACAUUAUUUCUUUUAAUCCUCGUGACAACUCUAUCAUGUUAAUGUUAGUACGAUAUUAGCCUUGUUUUGCACAUGAGAAUAUUGAGAACUAGAGAAAAAAGUUGUUUUCCACAUUCUGAGAGCUGAUAGCUGCAAGCUGGAUUUGCAACCUUUGAGUCUAACUCCAAGGCCGAUAUAUUUAAUAACUAUGCCAUGCACGUGUCAUCCCCAAAAAUUUUUGCAAGAGAUGGUACUUACCUCGGUUUUCCUACCUAGGGCAGCAGAAACUUCAUUCUUUAAUACAUAUACAAAUACUACCAAACAAAGGCAGAAGUGUGUAUAUGAGUGUGUCUGUGUGUGCAUAUGUACGUGUGUGUGUGUGUGUGCUUAUUAGGAACAGUUCCAGCUUGAUAAUGAUGAAAGAAGGGAGAUUACACUAACUAUAAACAUGAAACUUGAGUCUCUCAAUGUCAGUUUAAGAGCUAUUCUCUUCUCCCUUAUAUCCACUGCCAAUUGCUGCUCUGUCUCUGUAAAAUUUUUUCUGUUCACAUAUAAAAUGUAUAGAUACAUCAUACACAAAAAUCAUAUUUAGUGCAGUUAUCUGAUUUGCUGUAUUGUUGGGGGUUAUUUUAUUGGGAUAAAAAUCCUUGCUAUAAUAUAUUUGUUUAUGUUAGCUGCCAUAUACAUGCUGGUCAUUCUAAGGCAGGUAAUUAAAAGAUAGGGAAAAUGGCAAUUUUUAAAUUUGAAAAAAUAAAUGCAUUUGAGAUACUAUUUUUAGGAUUUUU
rnacentral:lncRNA from 1 species